rnacentral:rRNA from 1 species
AGCGAACGCUGGCGGCAGGCUUAACACAUGCAAGUCGAGCGGGCGUAGCAAUACGUCAGCGGCAGACGGGUGAGUAACGCGUGGGAACGUACCUUUUGGUUCGGAACAACACAGGGAAACUUGUGCUAAUACCGUAUAAGCCCUUACGGGGAAAGCUUUAUCGCCAAAAGACCGGCCCGCGUCUGAAUAGCUAGUUGGUAGGGUAAUGGCCUACCAAGGCGACGAUCAUUAGCUGGUCUGAGAGGAUGAUCAGACACAUUGGGACUGAGACACGGCCCAAACUCCUACGGGAGGCAGCAGUGGGGAAUAUUGGUCAAUGGGGGCAACCCUGAUCCAGCCAUGCCGCGUGAGUGAUGAAGGCCCUAGGGUUGUAAAGCUCCUUUGUGCGGGAAGAUAAUGACGGUACCGCAAGAAUAAGCCCCGGCUAACUUCGUGCCAGCCGCCGCCGUAA